UGAAAACAUGAAGUCGAGUUGCCUAUUUCUGGUCCUGGGCUUUAUCCUGAUCCUGGUGCUCUACUCAGAUGCUAACCUACCUGAACCCCACCGUAUCUCAUGCUGUUUCAAAUUCUUUCCUGGAAAAAUUCCUGAUCAACACAUCCUGAAAGUGACAAAAACAAACCCAGACUGUACAGCAGGCGGCUUCAUUGUUUUGACGCGUAGGCUCUAUAGCCUGUGUGUUCGUGAAGACCCCAGAAAAAAUUAAUGGGCCGUAAUUCUGCAGCUCCGAUGGAAAAGAAAUGCAAACCUAAUCAAGUUUAUAUAACCCUUCAUGCAACUUUUUAUGCAAUUCACCCCACUGUAUUUAC